UGGGAAGCUGAGGCGAAUGGAUCACCCGAGGUCAGGAGUUCGAGACCAGCCUGGCCAACAUGGUGAAACUCUGUCUCUACUUCAGAAGUCUGUGUGGGGAAUGGAGUGCGGCUGCUAGGCUGGUGAGUGGGAUGAGGGUCUUCCAGAUGUGGGAAGUAAGACUGUGUUACAAAGCACCGCUCUAAUCACCGGGGAGACCUGCCUGAAUUCUACCUUCUGGGGCACGAGUCCAUAUAUAUAUAUACACAUAAGAGCCCAGCGAAGGCAGGGCUGCUGCCGCACGGUGGACGUGGCAGGCGGCACUUCCGGCUGGGCUACCGCGGCUGCGGAGGGACAUCCUUCAAGAACAGGCGCCGGUCCCGGCGUCCGCCGCGCAGUUAGGAAACUGACUGUCGCUCUCUCCGGCCUCGGCGCUGCUUUCAAAACAAGGAAACAAGGCAGGAGAGAGUCCAUGAAAUUGGGGGGAGUCCAAAGAGGGAGUGUUUCUGUCCUUGGAACUCACCUUUUCUUCUCUCCAUUUCUCCUCUUCUCCUUCCCAUCUAGUGCAGCAUCUUCACUCCGAAGCAGAAAUUUGCCAAAAAAGCAUCCUCUUUUUAUCAGAAAAUAAAAUAUCCUGGUUUCUUAGCCUGGCAAUUGAGCUAAUCAGUGGAAUCAAGGGAAACUUUUUUGUUUGAGAUGGAGUCUCCCUCUGUCACCCAGGCUGGAGUGCAGUGGCACAGUCUUGGCUUACUGCAACCUCCACCUCCCGGGUUCAAGUGAUUCACCUGCCUCACCUUCCGGAGUAGCUGGGGUUACAAGCAUUCCUGAGACCACAGGCGUGUGCCACCAUGGCUAGCUAAUUUUUGUAUUUUAUUUUUGUAGAGACAGGGUUUUGCCAUGCUGCCUAGGCUGGUCUCAAACUCCUGGGCUCAAGUGAUCCACCCACCUGGCAAACGUCUAUGAAUUCCAUCAGAGGGCCUUACUGUGAAUGUAGGUUCUGUCCAGGAAGCUGUCCAGGAAGCUGUGAGAUCUUGGGCAAGUUACAUAUCUCUCUGUCUUUCAGUUUCUUGCGGUGGCUCACGCCUGUAAUCCCAGCACUUUGGGAGGCCGAGGCGGGCGGAUCACGAGGUCAAGAGAUCAAGACCAUCCUGGCCAACAUGGUGAAACCCCAUGUCAGGUCUGCAGUGAAGCUGUCUCGGGCAAAUGGGAAUAUAUGGUCACAUUAUUUAUGAACCCACUGCAGCUCUACUGCUCACCUUCACUUUGACAGUUACUACUGUUAGUACUUGAGACCGUCAUUAUGACAGUUGCUGUUACUACUUGAGACCAUCACUACAACAGUUACUAUUGUUACUACUUGAGACCAUCAUUAUGACAGUUACUACUGUUACUACUUGAGACCGUCAUUAUAACAGUUGUUGCCAUUACUCUUUAACACCCUCAUUACAAGACUGAAUGAAGGGAUGAACAUAGACAAUGAAAACUUAAAGCAAAAAGGAAGGGUCCAGGGGAAGAAGAAGAGAGCUCCCUGCUUCUAGUGAGCAAAGGCAGCCCUUGAGCUUCCACAGCCCUUCGUAUUUGUUGGGUAGCAAGAGCAGGGAGGAGGAGGUAAUGAUGGGUUGGCUGCUUAACUGAUA
rnacentral:lncRNA from 1 species